rnacentral:piRNA from 1 species
UGAGUUCAAGCCUCAGAAUUCAGG